GUAUGCAGUUGCAUUUCUCAGUAUAGACAGAAUUUCAUACCCACGCAGGGUAAGGGAAGAGGACAUGAUAAACGUGUGAAAUCCUUUUGAAUUUGAAAAGUGACAAUAGAGCUUGCUACCAAGAUAUUUAAUCAUCUGAGGGAGAAGCCAAGAGAAGCUUAGGUGAAUAACUACUCAAAUUAUUCUUCCAAGAAGAGGAAAGGUCACCUUGAAGUGAAGAAGAAAAUGAAACUGAGUAAGAAGACAUAAAGUAGAAGAGAAGGAAAGGAAAGAGUCUUCUUUGCAGCUUUUCCAUCAUGGUGGACUUAAGAUACUUGGUUUCUGUGGCUUGAAAGUUCAGAAGGGAUUUUUAGGAGUACAAUUGAAAAUACAGGAUAUCCAUUGAAGAGUGUC